GACGAACGCUGGCGGCGUGCUUAACACAUGCAAGUCGAGCGGUAAGGCCCCUUCGGGGGUACACGAGCGGCGAACGGGUGAGUAACACGUGAGCAACCUACCCUCAACUUUGGGAUAAGCCUCGGAAUCGGGGUCUAAUACCGAAUAUCACUCCUUGUUUCAUGGCGGGGGGGUGCAAGUUCUGGCGGUUGGGGAUGGGCUCGCGGCCUAUCAGCUUGUUGGUGGGGUAAUGGCCUACCAAGGCGUCGACGGGUAGCCGGCCUGAGAGGGCGACCGGCCACACUGGGACUGAGACACGGCCCAGACUCCUACGGGAGGCAGCAGUGGGGAAUAUUGCGCAAUGGACGAAAGUCUGACGCAGCAACGCCGCGUGAGGGAUGACGGCCUUCGGGUUGUAAACCUCUUUCAGCAGGGACGAAGCGAGAGUGACGGUACCUGCAGAAGAAGGACCGGCCAACUACGUGCCAGCCGCCGCGGUAACAC
rnacentral:rRNA from 1 species